AUGAGCUAUUUUUAAGCAGUCUAAUGGACGCACCCUUCUAUGUAGCAAAAUAUGUGGGAAGACUUAAAAAUAGAGGUGAAACGCCUAUCGAAUUUGGAGAUAGCUGGCUACCCCAAAUAGAAUCUAAGUUCUACUUUAGAACAAGAUUUAACUAAUUAACCUUCUAAAGAUAGUCAAUAGAGGUACAGCUCUACUGACCCAGGAUACAACCUGAAUUUGCAAGAAACUACCUCUUUUAACACAACCCGUAGGCCCUCAAGCAGCCAUCAUAAAAAAUAUCGUCAAAGAAUUAACCUAAAUAAACCCAACACCCACUAAAAACUUCAAAUUAACUAAAGGUGGACCUACAUAAGUAGGUAUCAUUAUGCUAAAACUAAUAAUAAGACUACAUCUCUUUUACGCACCUCUCCGCUAGAAAUAGAAAAACUACUAGCAAUUAACAGACCAUAAAAGGCAACAAACAACCCUAUACACACCUUUAAAACCAACUGUGACCCCAACACUGGAGCGUCAAAAAGAAAGAUUAACUGUUAUAAAAGGAACUCGGCAAUCAAAGGCUCCAACUGUUUAACAAAAACAUAACCUUUAGCCAAACAAGUAUUAAAGGCGACGCCUGCCCAGUGAAUAAUUAAACGGCCGCGGUACCCUAACCGUGCAAAGGUAGCAUAAUCAUUUGUCUAUUAAUUGUAGACCUGUAUGAAAGGCAAAAUGAGAGCCCAACUGUCUCUUAUAACAAAUCAAUUAAACUGAUCUCCUAGUACAAAAGCUAGAAUAUUCACAUAAGACCAGAAGACCCUGUGAAGCUUUAACAAACCCAUUAAACCAAAUAAUGAUUACUUUCGGUUGGGGCGACCUUGGAAUAAAAAAGAACUUCCAACAUAUGACUCACUCAUAAAAUAAGGCAAACAAGCCAAUACUAGAUCCAGCAUAGCUGAUAAUUGAAAUAAGUUACUCCAGGGAUAACAGCGCCAUCUUCUUUAAGAGCCCAUAUCAAAAAGAAGGUUUACGACCUCGAUGUUGGAUCAGGACAUCCCAGUAAUGCAACAGUUACUAAAGGUUCGUUU
rnacentral:rRNA from 1 species